GUGCGAAAUAUUACUGUAAACGGCCGCCCUAGCGUGAGGGUGCUAAGGUAGCGAAAUUCCUUGCCUUUUGAUUGUAGGCCUGCAUGAAUGGUUUAACGAGGGUUUAACUGUCUCUUGAUUAAAAAUUGAAAUUGUACUGAAGGUGAAGAUACCUUCAUUAAAAAGUCAGACAAAAAGACCCCGUGCAACUUUGAAAAUUAACUUUAUUCAGAAGUGAAAGAUUUUUAGGUGGGGCGCCUAGAAAGUAAAUCUAACCUUUCUGAACAUUUAAUUCUUUCCGGACUUGACCCGAUUAUAUUCGAUCAUAGGAGAAGUUACGCCGGGGAUAACAGGCUAAUCCUUUAGUAGAGCUCGUAUUGGCUAAAGGGAUUGGCACCUCGAUGUUGAAUCAGGGAUGAUAGCUUCAAGGCGUAGAGGCUUUGAGAGUAGGUCUGUUCGACCUUUAAUACCCU
rnacentral:rRNA from 1 species